rnacentral:rRNA from 1 species
AUUGAACGCUGGCGGCAUGCCUUACACAUGCAAGUCGAACGGCAGCACGGGGGCAACCCUGGUGGCGAGUGGCGAACGGGUGAGUAAUGCAUCGGAACGUGCCCAGUAGUGGGGGAUAACUAGUCGAAAGAUUAGCUAAUACCGCAUACGACCUAUGGGUGAAAGCGGGGAUUCGCAAGAACCUCGCGCUAUCGGAGCGGCCGAUGUCUGAUUAGCUAGNGGCGGGGUAAAGGCCCACCAAGGCUUCGAUCAGUAGCUGGUCUGAGAGGACGACCAGCCACACUGGGACUGAGACACGGCCCAGACUCCUACGGGAGGCAGCAGUGGGGAAUUUUGGACAAAUGGGCGCAAGCCUGAUCCAGCCAUGCCGCGUGCGGGAAGAAGGCCU